UUUUGUUUAAAUUAUUUUUAGUAAAAAAGAUGAGCAUAGAUCGAGUGAAAAAUUUAAAAUUACCCAAUUUAUUAAGAUUUGAAAGCUAUAAUUUUUACGUGUUGAGAAUGAAAACUAUGGGCGUAAUACCAUUUCAUUUAGAUUUUUUCAAAAAGAAAUUUGGAGUAUUUUUGGACUGGAUACAAGUAACAAUUUUUGAAGAAUUGGGAGGAGAUUUAAAAAUAGAUUGAACUCGAGAACUCACCAAUGAUGUACCUUUCAAUAAUGCACAACCAGUGGGCAGUGAUAUACCUACCAUAAAUGAAUGAGAUUAAUGAUAUAGGCUCAGACAUACUACGUUUAAUUUACCCUGCAAUUUUGCUUUAUAAAAAUAUCACUAUUCAUAUUUUGUUUUAAUUAUACUAACAGGGUCAUAUAGUUAAUUUUAGUUUGUUUUGAUGUACCGAUAGGACCGUCCUAUAUAAUAUUAAAAUUAAUAUUUAACUAAGUAAAAUUAUUAUUCUUUGACCGCUGAAAAUAUGUUAACAUUGUAUUAGUUUUAACUAUUGAACUGCUGAAUUUUUUUUUAUAUAUAUCUUUUAACCUAAAAUGUUUAGAAUAUAACAGUUUUAUCGUCAUAAAA